AAAAAGGGCUUCUGUCGUGAGUGGCACACGUAGGGCAAUUCAGUUGCUCUGCGUGCGGAAUCGACAUCAAGAGAUUUCAGAAGCAUAAUUUUUUGGCACACGGGCAGCUGGUGAUUGUUGGUCCUGGCGCCCCU
ensembl:snRNA